UAGCUGCAGAAGAAGCACCCGGCUAAACUCCCGUGCCAGCAGCCGCGGUAAUACGGAGGGUGCGAGCGUUAAUCGGAAUUACUGGGCGUAAAGCGCAUGCAGGUGGUGUGUUAAGUCAGAUGUGAAAGCCCGGGGCUCAACCUCGGAAUAGCAUUUGAAACUGGCACACUAGAGUACUGUAGAGGGGGGUAGAAUUUCAGGUGUAGCGGUGAAAUGCGUAGAGAUCUGAAGGAAUACCAGUGGCGAAGGCGGCCCCCUGGACAGAUACUGACACUCAGAUGCGAAAGCGUGGGGAGCAAACAGGAUUAGAUACCCUGGUAGUCCACGCCGUAAACGAUGUCUACUUGGAGGUUGUGGCCUUGAGCCGUGGCUUUCGGAGCUAACGCGUUAAGUAGACCGCCUGGGGAGUACGGUCGCAAGAUUAAAACUCAAAUGAAUUGACGGGGGCCCGCACAAGCGGUGGAGCAUGUGGUUUAAUUCGAUGCAACGCGAAGAACCUUACCUACUCUUGACAUCCAGAGAACUUUCCAGAGAUGGAUUGGUGCCUUCGGGAACUCUGAGACAGGUGCUGCAUGGCUGUCGUCAGCUCGUGUUGUGAAAUGUUGGGUUAAGUCCCGCAACGAGCGCAACCCUUAUCCUUGUUUGCCAGCGAGUAAUGUCGGGAACUCCAGGGAGACUGCCGGUGAUAAACCGGAGGAAGGUGGGGACGACGUCAAGUCAUCAUGGCCCUUACGAGUAGGGCUACACACGUGCUACAAUGGCGCAUACAGAGGGCGGCCAACUUGCGAAAGUGAGCGAAUCCCAAAAAGUGCGUCGUAGUCCGGAUUGGAGUCUGCAACUCGACUCCAUGAAGUCGGAAUCGCUAGUAAUCGUGGAUCAGAAUGCCACGGUGAAUACGUUCCCGGGCCUUGUACACACCGCCCGUCACACCAUGGGAGUGGGCUGCAAAAGAAGUAGUAU
rnacentral:rRNA from 1 species